UGACAGGAUUUGGGCUUCUCCA
rnacentral:misc_RNA from 1 species